GGACCCGUGGCGCAACGGUAGCGCAUCUGAUUCCAGCAAAUGGAAUGACGACGAGUCUCCAGAAGGUUAUCCGUUCAAGUCGGGUCGGGUUCA